CAGCAAAAAAGUGAUAAAAGGGCCAAGCUGGUGCAAGUUGAUGGAUUACAUAAAUAAAUAUUCAAACUACAGCCUUUCUCUACCAGGAGACGUGUUAAGUAAGCAUAUAGGGAGAGGCUGUAAGCAAAGCGGUAGGAAGUCAAGGGCCAUGGAAAACUUCCUGACUUUUGGGUCAGGAUCAGAUACUGGUUAAUCAAGGAGGGCUUCCAGGAGGAGGUUCUGGGGCUUCCGGGAGUCUCCAAUGAGGCUAAGUUGCUCUCCUUUUUUCAUCCCUUUCUCAACAAUCAACUCUUCUCAGACUAAGGGAUACAAGAUGGGGUCGGACUCUGUGGGAGAGUGUAUCGUGUCAGCUCCCGAGAUCGUUCACGAUCCGAAGCAUGGUCCCUUUAAGGCAUCGAAACUCAGUGAACGUUCUACCGCUGGCCUCGCGGCCUUCCCGAGGCGCGCUGACGUCACCUUUCGGGGAAGCGGCUGACGUCAGCGCGUCCUCGCAGGGUGGGGGCCGGGCCGUGACUCACCCGCGCCGUGCCACUGGCCCGGCUCCACCGAGUGCACGUGAGCGCGUCCGCGCUCGUUGCUAAUUUUAGCUCCGGCGGCCCGGGUGGGGUCCGGCGAGGCGCUCCAUCCCGAGUCCCGGGAGAAUGAAGGGGACCUUCCAGAAAUGAGAUAAAAGCUUCGUAUUAAAGAAAGCAGUGCCAGACACCUUGUGAAAUCGACACUCUCCCGUUCUUUGGAGGGGAAAAGUUCUGGAAAGAAGCACUGUCAGCGUAAAGUGAACUGCAGUUUUGACUUUGCAGACUGGUCUGCCGUGUCACAGUGACCUGCAUUUUGUUCUUGGUGUGACAUCCUCAGGAUUCUCUGGGUUUGUCUCCCUAGGCAGCCUAUAAAAAAAAAUGUUCAGGGAAACUUUGACCUUGUUAGGUGAAGGGUGUUAGACGUUACUAAAGAGUAUUAAAUAUAGUGAAAAACUGGGGAUGUCAAAUGGUAGUAUGGGAACGUUUGCUAAUUGUUGGAUUAUUCAUAAUUUGUAUUACAAAUGUUUGAAAGCUAUAACCUUAAAAAAACUUUUCAUAUGCCCUUUUCUUAGAAAGAAAUGAUGGAAAGUUAGGUGUGGAGUAAAGGUAGCUUUGGGGAUUAUAACAUGAAUGAAUGAAUGACAGAAAUCUAAAUCCAAAUGUGUAAUUUUCAUUUGUUUUCCAAAAAUACCACAUUGGCCUUGGUAAAUUGGAAAUUUUUUCAAAUAUAAAUAUGGAAACUGCAAGUGUUUAGGGCUCUAUUCCCCAUUCAGUACCCAUUUUAACACAGUUAAAAAGGACUGACAGUUUACAGUCUAACAAUUGAAUACAUCCAGAGGUUUGAGUACUGUUUUACAGUGUUCAUGUAGCAACAGAAGUCUCUUUGUCCUAAUUUUGGACAGUUGCUAGGGCAUAUUCCUCAAUGUAAUGCCUAUUUUGGGAGAGACUUAAAUUGAGCAGGUGUGAACAAUGAUGAAUCAUGUUCGCAAACUGAGCUAAUUUCCCUUUGUAUGGGAUAUCAUUGUGUGUGUAUAUAAUGUAUAAGAUCUUGAACAUAAAGUCCUCAGGUUCAGAAAUUAAGGUUUUUAGUCCGGAAAGUGAGUUUUUGCUUUAAUAAUACUUAACCUUGGAAUGGGCCGCCUGCAUCCUGAAGACAGCCUGUUAGUGUUUCUAUGAAGUCUUCCCUGCCCCCAAGUUGGACCUGCUCUCUUUGAGUCACAUCUGUUACUCAGUUAUUGUUCACUGUGUUGUGAUCGUUUAGGUGUCUGUGUCUCCCACUAGACUAACCUCUUGGGAUGUGGAUGAGUGUCUGUCUUUGUAUCUCUGGCAUCUAGAGUAGUGCUAGCAUGCAGUAAGAUCUACAUUUUUUGGAGUGUUUUGUUUCAUUGAAUAAAUGUGGGUUUUCCAGAUUGCA